rnacentral:rRNA from 1 species
GAGUUUGAUCUUGGCUCAGGAUGAACGCUAGCUACAGGCUUAACACAUGCAAGUCGAGGGGCAGCAUGAAAGUUUGCUUGCAAACUUUUGAUGGCGACCGGCGCACGGGUGAGUAACACGUAUCCAACCUGCCUCAUACUCGGGGAUAGCCUUUCGAAAGAAAGAUUAAUACCCGAUGUCAUAGUCCUACCGCAUGAUGGGAUUAUUAAAGAAUUUCGGUAUGGGAUGGGGAUGCGUUCCAUUAGUUAGUUGGCGGGGUAACGGCCCACCAAGACAACGAUGGAUAGGGGUUCUGAGAGGAAGGUCCCCCACAUUGGAACUGAGACACGGUCCAAACUCCUACGGGAGGCAGCA